CAAUAGCGUAUAUUAAAGUUGUUGCGGUUAAAAAGCUCGUAGUUGGAUUUCUGUUGGGAACGACCGGUCCGCCCAUUGGGUGUGUAUCUGGCUUGUUCUCGGCAUCUUCUUGGUGAACGUUGCUGCACUUGACUGUGUGGAGCGCUACCCAGGACUUUUACUUUGAGGAAAUUAGAGUGUUUCAAGCAGGCAUAUGCCUUGAAUACAUUAGCAUGGAAUAAUAAGAUAGGACUUUGGUACUAUUUUGUUGGUUUGCGCACCAAAGUAAUGAUUAAUAGGGACAGUUGGGGGUAUUCGUAUUCCGUUGUCAGAGGUGAAAUUCUUGGAUUUACGGAAGACGAACUACUGCGAAAGCAUUUACCAAGGAUGUUUUCAUUAA
rnacentral:rRNA from 1 species